AUCAACUACAGUGGAUGAACUUAAGGUUAGAAAAUGUCAUUGGGGUAAAUUAUAUUGUGCUUAAGGUACAAUUAUUAGGUUUUGAUCAUUGGGGAUAAGGAUCAUUUUAUGGAGGGGUAUUGUCACGAAUGAAAGAGAAGAACAAGACGGGGAUAUUAUAAUUGAAGCGAGAGAAUUGGAGAAUGAAAGAUGAAUUAGGGAUUGAGAAAAAAGAUCAGGGAAUUAGGGAUUUCAAUUCCUAAUAUUAAGACUGGAGGAAAUUACCUAGAGCUGGACACAAGUAAGGGAGGGCAGAUGCUGAAUGGUGCAGAAGAUGGGCUCAGCAGUGGAUGCAACCAACAGCCCAAAAAAGAAAAUAUUUAGUUCUUAUCUGCAGGGAAUCUAUUAAAGUUAGUUAUACAGCUGAUGAAUGAAUGAAUGAAAUAUGUUUUCUGUAAUCCUUUUGCUUUUCUUUUUCUAAAACCUUCCUUCCUUUUUUUUUCUUUCUCUAUUCUCCUCGGUUCAUAACAAAUUACUCCUGGUGUUUGGACGUUGAGGAUUUGGAUUCUAAUACUAGAGGAGCUGGUGGAUUUGGAUCCACUGGUGGAGCAGAUUUUGGGUGCGUAAUCGAUCUUCUAUUUUCUUCUAGAGCAACAUCAGGUUUCCUUGGAGUAAACAUAUGUAUCUGUUCAAACACGCAACAAAAGAAAUGGACUGAAAUUAUACAUUAAAGUUUCUUGCUGAUGAGGUGUCACUAGCCAACUUGCUAAAGCUCUAUUUUCAUGAGUCUAGCCUUGCACGGGAUUCAAUUACUUAGCACCACCAAACUUAUAACUUCUCCUGAGUGAAAUGGUUCAUAUUAUUUGGAGACAAUUAGUCUGUAAGAGGCAGCAGCCUAGAAGGGUGGAGCAAUUAUGUUGCACAACAUACGCAAGACAAAGGCAGGCUGCCUUAUAAAGAAAAGAUGAAAGGAUUCUACACUCUCUUAGCUUCUUUGAUCGUCGUCACCAAAGCAAAGAAUUGUUGCAUAAUUGUGUGGUUGGUUUUGUCAGGUAAGAGAAGAGAAUCAACAGCUGCUUUGAGACUUGGAUGGUAGCAGGGGAUGGGAAAACGUAUCUCCCGAAAGAAACAAGAGAAAGAAUAGUAAUCGGUGCUAAACCGAACCAUUUCAACAAUUGAAUCCAUGUGCAUAAUUGUAUAUUUGUGUGUGUUUUUCAGUUUGCAUUAAUAAGGUUCACAAAGUGCAGCAGUAAGUCAUGCCUCCUGUUUUCUAACUUCUAGAAGACGGUCAAUAAUAGCCAUGAUCCAUAAAAAAUUCUUAUUCACCACAGGGUUUUAACUGAUGUCUUUUUAAGUCAUGCCCAACCAAGUUUGCUUUUAGCAGAGAUUUCAGGAAACGCUCACCUGCAACCAUUGGAUUUGAACCCUUUGAGUUCUUAGGGGCAGCCAUCCGCUCCUUCCUCAACCGAAGAUCAUCUAACAGCUUCUGGGCGAAAUCUGAUCUCUUUGCCAUGUUUGGUAUUUGAUUCAACAAGG